rnacentral:rRNA from 1 species
GAUCAACGCUGGCGGCGUGCAUGAGACAUGCAAGUCGAACGAAGGAUCGGGCUUGCUCGAUCCUUAGUGGCGGACGGCUGAGUAACGCGUAGGUGACCUACCCCGAAGUGGGGAAUAACUGCCCGAAAGGGUGGCUAAUACCGCAUGUGGUCGCACGUUCAUUCGUGCGAGUAAAGCCGCAAGGCGCUUCGGGAGGGGCCUGCGUCCGAUUAGCUCGUUGGUGGGGUAAUGGCUUACCAAGGCGACGACCGGUAGGUGGUCUGAGAGGACGAUCACCCAGACUGGGACUGAGACACGGCCCAGACUCCUACGGGAGGCAGCAGUCGGGAAUUUUGCUCAAUGGGGGAAACCCUGAAGCAGCAACGCCGCGUGAGGGAUGAAGGCCUUCGGGUUGUAAACCUCUUUUGUCAGGGACGAUGAUGACGGUACCUGGCGAAUAAGCCACGGCUAACUACGUG